rnacentral:rRNA from 1 species
UGCAGGCUGCAACUCGCCUGCAUGAAGUCGGAAUUGCUAGUAAUCGCGGAUCAGCAUGCCGCGGUGAAUACGUUCCCGGGCCUUGUACACACCGCCCGUCACACCAUGGGAGUCGGUAACACCCGAAGCCGAUAGUCUAACGAAAGAGGACGUCGUCGAAGGUGGGAUUGAUGACUGGGGUGAAGUCGUAACAAGGUAAC